rnacentral:rRNA from 1 species
ACUCCGUACGGGAGGCAGCAGGUGGGGAAUAUUGGCACAAUGGGGGAAACCCUGAUGCAGCCAUGCCGCGUGUGUGAAGAAGGCCUUCGGGUUGUAAAGCACUUUCAGUAGGGAGGAAGGUAGUGGUAGUUAAUCACCUGGCAUUAUUUGACGUUACCUACAGAAGAAGCACCGGCUAACUCCGUGCCAGCAGCCGCGGUAAUACGGAGGGUGCGAGCGUUAAUCGGAAUUACUGGGCGUAAAGCGCAUGCAGGCGGCCUGUUAAGUCAGAUGUGAAAGCCCGGGGCUUAACCUCGGAAUUGCAUUUUGAAACUGGCAGGCUAGAGUCUUGUAGAGGGGGGGUAGAAUUUCAGGUGUAGCGGUGAAAUGCGUAGAGAUCUGAAGGAAUACCAGUGGCGAAGGCCGGCCCCCUGGACAAAGACUGACGCUCAGAUGCGAAAGCGUGGGGAGCAAACAGGAUUAGAUACCCUGGUAGACUGU